rnacentral:rRNA from 1 species
AUUGAACGCUGGCGGCAUGCCUUACACAUGCAAGUCGAACGGCAGCACGGGAGCAAUCCUGGUGGCGAGUGGCGAACGGGUGAGUAAUAUAUCGGAACGUGCCCAGUCGUGGGGGAUAACGCAGCGAAAGCUGUGCUAAUACCGCAUACGAUCUACGGAUGAAAGCGGGGGAUCGCAAGACCUCGCGCGAUUGGAGCGGCCGAUAUCAGAUUAGCUAGUCGGUGGGGUAAAGGCUCACCAAGCCAACGAACUGUAGCUGGUCUGAGAGGACGACCAGCCACACUGGGACUGAGACACGGCCCAGACUCCUACGGGAGGCAGCAGUGGGGAAUUUUGGACAAUGGGCGCAAGCCUGAUCCAGCAAUGCCGCGUGCAGGAAGAAGGCCUUCGGGUUGUAAACUGCUUUUGUACGGAACGAAACGGUCCGGGUUAAUACCCUGGGCUAAUGACGGUACCGUAAGAAUAAGCACCGGCUAACUACGUGCCAGCCGCCGCCGUAAGAC